rnacentral:rRNA from 1 species
UGGGGAAUCUUGCGCAAUGGGCGAAAGCCUGACGCAGCGACGCCGCGUGGGGGAUGAAGCUUCUCGGAGUGUAAACCCCUUUCGACCCGGACGAAACACCCGCAAGGGUUUGACGGUACGGGUAGAAGAAGCCCCGGCUAACUACGUGCCAGCAGCCGCGGUAAAACGUAGGGGGCCAGCGUUGCUCGGAAUUACUGGGCGUAAAGGGUUCGUAGGCGGUGCGGCAAGUCGGGAGUGAAAUCUCUGGGCUUAACUCAGAGGCUGCUCCCGAAACUGCCGUGCUCGAGUGCGGGAGAGGCGAGUGGAAUUGCAGGUGUAGCGGUGAAAUGCGUAGAUAUCUGCAGGAACACCCGUGGCGAAGGCGGCUCGCUGGACCGCAACUGACGCUGAGGAACGAAAGCUAGGGGAGCAAACAGG